rnacentral:rRNA from 1 species
UACUACGAGCCCAGGCUUGAAACUCAAAGGACUUGACGGUGUCCCACCCCCCUAGAGGAGCCUGUUCUAUAAUCGACAAUCCCCGCUUAACCUCACCACUUUUUGUCUAUCAGUCUGUAUACCUCCGUCGCAAGCUCACCACAUGAGUGUAAAUCAGUGGGCAACAGGGUCUCUUCACCAAUACGUCAGGUCAAGGUGCAACUUAUAGAGUGGCAAGUAAUGGGCUACAAUUUCUAUAGUAGAACACACGAAAAGACACAUGAAAACAUGUCUUGAAGGCGGAUUUAGUAGUAAAGGGGAAAUAGAGUGUCCCCUUUAACCCGGCACUGGGACGUGU